GCCCUGGAACCUGCCGGCUGCCCCUCGUUUAGAGGGACUUUUCUAGGUGACACUCUAGGUGCUAUCCACCUCGAAGAACACGGACUCAUCCUCACUCUGGGAAUGUGAAAAGCAGCCGUGUCUGGGCUAAGGAGCCGCCUUGGAUGAUUUACGCAUGACAGGGACCACACUCGGAGGUCACUACAUAGAGUCACCUCUUGGGAAACAAGCAACAAGAUCAGAGUCUGCCUGUCACCAACGAGGGGUGUUCUCACAGACAGGGCAGGAUUCUGGCUUCUGGGACAGGAAGGAUGAGAUGGUAUCUACAAACCGCGGUACAAGCCGUCUCAAAAAUAGAUUUUUUUCCUACAUCGAUGUUCUGAAGCUCGUCAGAGAAAAACCAAUCCUUCCUUCCCUCAGUUUCUCUCUCCACAGUACAAAGCCCCCGUCCCACAAAUGCAUGAAUCCUCACUUUACUUUUAAUAACCGAAGGGAGGAACCAAUGCACGUGUCCACCAACAGACGGGAAGACAAGCUCCUUGCAGUGUGGACACACAGGGACCCUGUUCAGCCUUGAUAAAUAAGGAAGAGAGUUCGCUAAGUGACACGAGCCAGGCACAGGGACAGAGAAUGCACGACUCCACUUCCAGGAGGCGGGACUCUAGAGUCCCCCCAACUCAAAACAGCUGGAAACUAGAGUGGGGGCUGCCAGAGGCUGGAGGGGACAUGGGGACGUGACUGCCCAGUGGACAGAGAACAGUGACUUGAAAUUUCUUCAUCUUGGGCAUCUAUGUACAGUUCCUAAUGGGCACAGCUUCAGUUUGGGAAGGUAAAGAGUGACAGCAGGGCCCCGUGGCCCACAUCUGCAGUCCCAGGGACUUGGAGGCUGAGGAACAUAAGUUCAAGGGCAGCAACUACUAAGACCCUCCCCCACAAUAACACACAGAAAAGGCUGGGGUGUGGCUACGGGUUAGGCACCCCUGGGUUCAAUUCCCAGAACCAGAGAAAUAAAAGGAAGGGACAGAGAUGGACGGUGUCAAAACAACGUGAGCUCAGUUAAUUUAAUGCUACCGAGCACCUAGAAGUGGAAGUAGGAAACCAAAAAUAUUUUAAAAAUUCAAAACAAAUAUGAGUUUCACCAUGACCCUGAGUGAUCACACCUGUGCUAGGCGAUCGUGUGACACUGGCCUCCAGCCUGUUCCGAGUGUGGGGUUUGGGAAUUCACUGCUGCCAACUCAUGCUGAGCAAGGACCCUGCCCCCCUUCGGUGCCGCGCUUCUUGCCCCAACCCACCCUGCGUGGCCAGAGCAGGGACAGACCGGGCAGAGACGCGGCAGGCACUUGGGGCCCUGAGCCACAGCUCACAGGAGCGAGAGAGAACAGAGCGAGGCUCUCGGAUCAGGUCGGACGACCUGCCAAGGCAGGAGGACAGCAAGAAGUCGCUGUCUG
rnacentral:lncRNA from 1 species